rnacentral:rRNA from 1 species
AACGAACGCUGGCGGCGCGCCUAAUACAUGCAAGUCGAGCGAGAAGACGUAGCAAUACGUUUGUAAAGCGGCGAACGGGUGAGGAAUACAUGGGUAACCUACCCUCGAGUGGGGAAUAACUAGCCGAAAGGUUAGCUAAUACCGCGUACGCUCCUUGGACUUCGGUUCAGGGAGGAAAGCGAUACCGUGGGUAUCGCGCUCUUGGAUGGGCUCAUGUCCUAUCAGCUUGUUGGUGAGGUAACGGCUCACCAAGGCUUCGACGGGUAGCUGGUCUGAGAGGACGAUCA